rnacentral:lncRNA from 1 species
UCACCUACAGGUUGAUUGUACUCUUUUACAGACCUGUGUGACAGAAACCUGAGCACCAGGAUACAGCAUUGUGCUUAAAAGUGGUGUGUAUUUAUUUGGGCCCAAAAUAUCAUAUCUUACUCAAAUCAGCUUUGCUAUACAAAGGGUCCAGUUGGAGUAGCUGAAAAUUCAAAAGCUUCAAUGGAAAGUACUUUGUUUCCAAAUCUGCAUAUUUAGAAGCUAUAAAAAGAUCUUAUUACUGAAGGAAACUCGAAGCCAGUAUAAC